rnacentral:rRNA from 1 species
UGCAAGUCGAGUGCGCGUGCCGUAGCAAUACGGUAUGGCGCACGGCGCACGGGUGCGUAACACGUGGGCAAUCUGCCCUCCGGUGGGGAAUAACCCCGCGAAAGCGGGGCUAAUUCCGCAUAACAUUCCCUGGACUCUGGUUCGGGGAUUCAAAGCAGCAAUGCGCCGGAGGAGGAGCCCGCGCCCGAUUAGCUAGUUGGUGAGGUGACGGCUCACCAAGGCAAUGAUCGGUAGCUGGUCUGAGAGGAUGGCCAGCCACACUGGAACUGAGACACGGUCCAGACUCCUACGGGAGGCAGCAGUGGGGAAUCUUGCGCAAUGGGCGAAAGCCUGACGCAGCGACGCCGCGUGGGGGAUGAAGCUUCUCGGAGUGUAAACCCCUUUCGACCGGGACGAAUGCCCGCAAGGGAGUGACGGUACCGGUAGAAGAAGCCCCGGCUAACUACGUGCCAGCAGCCGCGGUAAGACGUAGGGGGCCAGCGUUGUUCGGAAUUACUGGGUGUAAAGGGUUCGUAGGCGGUGUGGCAAGUCGGGAGUGAAAUUUCUGGGCUUAACUCAGAAGCUGCUUCCGAAACUGCUGUGCUAGAGUGCGGGAGAGGCGCGUGGAAUUGCAGGUGUAGCGGUGAAAUGCGUAGAUAUCUGCAGGAACACCCGUGGCGAAAGCGGCGCGCUGGACCGUUACUGACGCUGAGGAACGAAAGCUAGGGGAGCAAACAGGAUUAGAUACCCUGGUAGUCCUAGCCCUAAACGAUCAGGACUUGGGGUGCCUUCCGUUCGGAAGUCGUCCCGGAGCU